AUGAGCCUGCAGAUUCCGGCUAGGUCACGCAGCCUCCGCCGCCUCCUCCUGCUGGGUGGAGAAUCUGGCAUCCGGCGGUCGUACUCCACCGGUGACCGUCGCCGCCGGGUGAUCCACGAGGCACGGGAUGAGGAGGAGGACGAGGCCUUCCUCCGCACCCUCAACUUCGGGGCUGACCCAGAGAACAACCCCCUGCCCCCACCGCUGAGACGCGCAGGGGGAGCCCCUGACCCCUCCGCCACCGGCGCCUUCCCUGCUGACAUCCUCCGACGCGCCGCCGGGAAGCAGCAGCGUCCGGAAAGGAGCGCUCAGAAAGCCAUCGGGGAGUCGCUGAUGGAGAAGCUUAAGCUGGGCGACGCCGCCUCCUCCACGGGAAGCAACAUCGAGGCUCAGCAGCCUGACCACGAACCGGGGCCGCCACUGCAGACGGAGGACGUGGACGGCAUCUUCCGGAAGAUGAAAGAGACGGGGCUGAUACCCAACGCCGUCGCCAUGCUCGACGGCCUCUGCAAGAACGGAUUGGUACCGGAGGCCAUGAAGCUGUUUGGUCUGAUGCGCGAGAAGGGCGCCAUCCCAGAGGUGGUCAUCUACACCGCUGUUGUCGAGGCCUUCUGCAAAGCAGCCAAGCUGGACGAUGCCGUCAGGAUCUUCAGGAAGAUGCAGGGCAACGGGGUCAUUCCAAAUGCCUUCAGCUACUGGUUGAUUAUACAGGGUCUGUGCAAGGGCGACAGACUGGAUGAGGCUGUUGCUUUCUGUGUGGAGAUGUUCGAGGCUGGGCAUUCCCCGAAUGCUGCAACGUUUGUGGGUUUGGUUGAUGCAGUAUGCAAGAUGAAGGGGGUAGAGGAGGGUGACAAGCUUGUGAGGAGCUUCCAGGAUAGGAACUUUGCCAUUGAUGAGAAGUCCAUCAGGGAACAUUUGGACAAGAAAGGGCCAUUCUCACCGAUUGUUUGGGAGGUGAUCUUUGGGAAGAAAAAAACAAGCCGCCCCUUUUGA
rnacentral:rRNA from 1 species